GAAAAGGAACUGUACGAACGUCGCUCGCCUACGCCAACUUUUAUUUAUUUUUGACGUAUGAUUUGUUCAACAUUGUGGAGAGCUCAUAUCUUUCUGGAAUAGAUAAUGGUGAUAUCAACAUUACUCAGCUCAUUUCACCUUCAUAAUUUCAAGCGAGAAAUUUCUUUUGCCUAGUCACUGCAGAGGAGAUAAUGAGUUUUUAACUGAACAAAAUUAGAGGAAUUCUGUCUCGUAUCGGAAAGCAAUAUUCAUCUUAAUUUUCAUCUUGUGGUUUUAAAAACCAAAUCGUCAUCACUAGAGGGCGAAUCGAGCAUUAUAAAGCUGGUGAGGAAGCUAAUCCAUGUCAUUAUUCUGGAGAUAAAAUGAGAUGAUGCUUUUCAAGCUAAUCACAAGCUUCUUGUGACAUCCAUCAACUGACAAGUAAUCGUUUUUUUGUUUUCUUCCUUGGAAGUUCCUCUCGCAUCACCAUCAUCAUUCCUCCACCGGGUAGGGACACGGUGGGUCGGCCAAGUGUCCGAAGUGGGUAUCUAGGGGAGUGGCUCCUAAGCACUCGGUGCACCUCUUGGAUAUUCAGGCUCCAUAUCAUCAAGGGAUUCCUUCGAAGGAAGAUGGAAAACACGAGACUAUGUCUAGCGGGAAUAACAAUAUCAGUAAUCUUGCUCAGUAGUGUGGUACUCAACGGCGGCUCGACUCUUGCGUAUGAGCUGUCCCCAGCCGCCUCGUCAACCAGGCGAAGAGACAAUGGCGUGCAAACAGUUUUGGACUUAUUGGAUUUUGCUCAGGAGGAGGAAGAGAGGCAUUUACAAGAAGAAUACGCAGACCAAAUACACAAUCACCAAAGAGUGAAAAGAUUCCCAAGAAUACCAAUGGGUGAAUCGUGUAAAACAUGGAGGGACUGUUCACAUACGCAUUGUUGCGCCUCGAAGUUCGGCAGACCAGUGUGUAGAGUAAGACCAACAUUAGGCCAGACGUGUCGACCCAGAGUUCAACCAAUACAUUCCCAUGAAAUACUCACACCGUGUCCUUGUGCCCAUGGUCUAAGAUGCUGGAAAAGAAAAGGAAAGAACAUUGGGGUGUGUGUAUAGUGAAGAGCCCCCACCCCCAUUCCCUUUUACCCCCCUUUUCUUCACUUGACUGUCCUCUUGUGUCGUUCAUCAUUUUUCGAUGUUGUACUUGUUUGGAAAGACGAUGUUACAAAAAAGACUGAAGAAAAAUGAUAAAUAGCGGAAAUACAACAGGACUCAUAGCUGGCGCAACGCGGAAGGAUAUUUGAAGAGCUUAUAAGUUAAGUGGAGAAAGAAGUGACUUUGCAUUCGUCGAGGGUUGUCAAGACUAUGAUAUUAUCUCGACUUACCACGUUUCGACACGUUCCAAUCCACUCCGUCAUCGCCUAAUCGAGCUUCAUUUAACGUAUUAGCUACGAGUUGUCUUCUUGCACACGAUUCUACCACAACUCGCAGAGACUGACUACUGCCAAAGCACAACAAACACAAUCUAAUCCCUUGUCAGGAGCUGCAGGGCCACUCUCUUCUCGUGCAUUCAAUCAUAUUCACCGAUAUCAUUUAUUAGAUAUCAGCGAUACCGACGGAAUCGCAGAACGCAUACAGAUUUUAUUUUCGAUGUGGUCAUCAUCACUGAGUGACAUAAAGCUGAGACGCAUUCAUCAAAGUGUGCUAUUACUUUUCUGAAGUAUCUACAAAAUGAUGCAGAAGACUCAACACUAUCUUUUGAUUACACAAAAUAUAUUUAUAUAUAAUAUCAAGUAUUUACUUACAGUGGUAUUUACGAAGUGCUAAAUAAUUCAUACAUAGCAUUGAACAAUAGGGCCUACUGGUUUGUUAUAUAAGUUAAUGAUGGGUUGAGGGUACUUGAUUCUAGACACUACUUCGAUGUGAUGCAAAUUUAUUUAUUAUUCCAAAAGAUUCUCUAAAGAUCUAGUGUAGAAAAAAGUUAACACCAUUCACACGCUUUACCAAUGAGGUUAUGUGGUUGAAUUUGAAUAUAUGACGAUUUUGUUUCUCUUUAGAAAACAAAAUGUGGUUUUAGAGGGGUUUUAGAUUAGAUAAUGGCUUUGACAAAUUGCUGCAUCUGGCCACAAGCGUAAGCAUCCAAUUCUCGUGUUUCAGUUUAUUUAUAUUCAUGGUCAAGUUGACAGCAAUCCAGUUCAUUAACAUCACUGCUCGUGCAGGAAAGAAUAUAUACAUUUUAUUAAAUGCGAAAUUUUAACAUAAAGAAUCCUAGAAGAUUUCACUAUAACUGUAGGGGGGAAUUGCUAUUGAGGUUUCGUGCAAAUAAAAGAUGUAUUCAUUACUAUUCAAUGUAUGGUAUUCACUAUAAAAAAAGGAAUAUUGCCCAGUUCUACACAAUGUCGUAACAACCGUAUUCAUCUACAUUCUGAUAUCACUGUUGUAUUAACACAAGACAAAUAGAAUAUAAAACAUAAUAAUUGAUUAUUCCAUUUUGAGGGUCACUGUAGUAGUGUAUUCAAUAUAUUAGGUGUAUUUUAUCGCCUAUUCCCUUUGGCUGAAUUCUGCUUGGCAGAUCACAGGAUAUUCACUUAAACCUUGCUUUAUUAUAUUUAUUAUAUCUCUCAUUACAAUGUAAUAAAACUGUUUUGAAGAAAAAGAUCCUCAAUUUGUUUUCCCAGUACACAUGUACCAUUGACCGGGAAAAUAUCAGUAUGUUUUCAAAAUGUAUUCAAAGGUAGAUAUUUAUCAAUUAAAUCAAAACAUUGAAAAAAUAAGAUGCUUGGAUUGUUUUGAUCAGAAUAAUAUGAAUAAGGUUCAAAUUUUUUACCUCUAUGACAUUAUGAUAUUGGUAAAGGUUGUCUGUUUUUUAAAUUCCUGUAUACAGUGAAUAGCGUUACAAUUUGAUGAAAGUAACCAUUUGUGAUUUAUUAGGAUAUCUUUGUGAGGAUUAAGGUAAAAUACCCUGAAUCAAUCACACCACUCCAAAUCCCCAGAUCGAAAUUGCACGUUAGACAUCAUUAAUCUACAAGGACGAGAGGAACCAAGCAACUGUCAUUUCUUCUACAUGUCUCUUGCCUACGUUCAUUUUUUCUCCUUUUCUGUAUCUGUACUAGUUUGUCUUUCUAUCCCAAUGCUCUCCCUCCUACCUCAUUCCAAUUUUGAGCUGGCGAGAUUUGCGUGCAGUCACUAGCUUCACACGAAAUGGAUGCCAAACUGAUUAAGUUCGAACCGCCACCAAGGCGACUAAUUCAAAGGAGAGUGUCAGAAAGUAGGAUGUAAGCAAAGUAUCAAAUUGACAUGAGUGGAUUUUGACAAUAAAAGGAACAGCACAAGUAGGUAAUUAAUUCUUGGCUUGAUUUUGCCGUAGACGGUUCUCUACCUAGCUUUAUUAAUUUUUGAUAUCCUUCCGUUUUGGGCCAGUUGUAUCCCUUUGGGUGUAAUAUUUUCGUUCGCCGUAUUUGAUACGGCAUACUUCAGCAGUUGUUAAUAUUUAUUUGCGAGUCAAAAAGUUUAUUUAUGGUACAUAUAUAUUACUCAGUAUUGUAAGUUAUUAUGGAAUAUGAUGUUGUAAAAGAAUAUGUCUCACUGCAAAAAUAAAACAAAAAUAUAUUCGCA